rnacentral:rRNA from 1 species
UACGAAGGGGGCUAGCGUUGCUCGGAAUCACUGGGCGUAAAGGGUGCGUAGGCGGGUCUUUAAGUCAGGGGUGAAAUCCUGGAGCUCAACUCCAGAACUGCCUUUGAUACUGAAGAUCUUGAGUUCGGGAGAGGUGAGGUGGAACUGCGAGUGUAGAGGUGAAAUUCGUAGAUAUUCGCAAGAACACCAGUGGCGAAGGCGGCUCACUGGCCCGAUACUGACGCUGAGGCACGAAAGCGUGGGGAGCAAAC